rnacentral:rRNA from 1 species
UUCGAUCAUGGCUCAGAUUGAACGCUGGCGGAUGCUUUACACAUGCAAGUCGAACGGCAGCACGGACUUCGGUCUGGUGGCGAGUGGCGAACGGGGAGUAAUGUAUCGGAACGCCCAGUAGCGGGGGAUGACCACGCGAAAGCGUAGCUAAUACCGCACAUUGCCCCUUCGGGGAAAGCGGGGACCUUCGGGCCUCGCACUAUUAGAGCGGCCGAUAUCGGAUUAGCUAGUUGGUGGGGUAACGGCUCACCAAGGCGACGAUCCGUAGCUGGUUUGAGGACGACCAGCCACACUGGGACUGAGACACGGCCCAGACUCCUACGGGAGGCAGCAGUGGGGAAUUUUGGACAAUGGGGGGAAACCCCGAUCCAGCCAUCCCGCGUGUGCGAUGAAGGCCUUCGGGUUGUAAAGCACUUUUGGCAGGAAAGAAACGGCACGGGAUAAUACCCCGUGCAACUGACGGUACCUGCAGAAUAAGCACCGGCUAACUACGUGCCAGCAGCCGCGGUAAUACGUAGGGUGCAAGCGUUAAUCGGAAUUACUGGGCGUAAAGCGUGCGCAGGCGGUUCGGAAAGAAAGAUGUGAAAUCCCAGAGCUUAACUUUGGAACUGCAUUUUUAACUACUGAGCUAGAGUGUGUCAGAGGGAGGUGGAAUUCCGCGUGUAGCAGUGAAAUGCGUAGAUAUGCGGAGGAACACCGAUGGCGAAGGCAGCCUCCUGGGAUAACACUGACGCUCAUGCACGAAAGCGUGGGGAGCAAACAGGAUUAGAUACCCUGGUAGUCCACGCCCUAAACGAUGUCAACUAGCUGUUGGGGCCUUCGGCCUGGUAGCGCAGCUAACGCGUGAAGUUGACCGCCUGGGGAGUACGGUCGCAAGAUUAAAACUCAAAGGAAUUGACGGGGACCCGCACAAGCGGUGGAUGAUGUGGAUUAAUUCGAUGCAACGCGAAAAACCUUACCUACCCUUGACAUGUCUGAAUCCCGAAGAGAUUUGGGAGUGCUCGCAAGAGAACCGAACACAGGUGCUCAUGGCUGUCGUCAGCUCGUGUCGUGAGAGAUGUUGGGUUAAGUCCCGCAACGAGCGCAACCUUGGUCAUUAGUUGCUACGAAAGGGCACUCUAAUGAGACUGCCGGUGACAAACCGGAGGAAGGUGGGGAUGAUUGUCAAGUCCUCAUGGCCCUUAUGGGUAGGGCUUCACACGUCAUACAAUGGCCGGGACAGAGGGUCGCCAACCCGCGAGGGGGAGCCAAUCCCAAACCCGAUCGCAGUCCGGAUCGCGUCUGCAACUCGACUGCGAAGUCGGAAUCAAGCAGACCAAAGAUCAGCAUGUCGCGGUGAAUACGUUCCCUGGGUCUUGUACACACUGCCUGUC